CUCUUCAUGGUACGUUUCAUAAUGAACACCUAAAUUGAAAUGUAAACAAUAAGUCCAUAAUAAUUGAUUAACAAAUAAACAAAGCUACCAAUGCAUAUGUUAUAAUUUCUCCCCAAAAAUUAUAUGAAGAUGUAAAUUUCUCCCCACCGGAUAGACUUUGGAUACUUGGUAGCAAGUUCCGGAUAUAAGUAUCACUAUGAACUUCACUGACAGUGCACUGGGUGUUGAAGUUUAUGGUGUUAGGUGUAACCGGUGAAUGAUGUCUUAAAACACUCAAAUAGGACCGCUCACUGGUGCAAGUCAUGGAUAGUUUUCCCAGGUAAGUUGGACAUGAUUGCACAUUUGCCUGGGGAGUUACAAUCAAAGCUGUUAUAGUAAAAGAGAAUAGUAAAAGAGAAAACCAGAAAAUAGCAAAAGAGAAACACUGGUAAAGCGAAACCAUUUUUCAUAUCAUGGAUUUACCCUGUGCAUGUAUUGAUGGAGAAGUUGCAGAAUAAUAACACAUAUUAAGUAUAACAUUUAUUUUGCUAGUAAGGUCAUUUGUAAUACCAGUAGAGGAUGCUUGACAUUUUUUCUGAGUCAGUAGCAACUCGUUUUCGUUGCAUGGCUUCACGUUGUUUGAGUAGGUACUCUGCUCUUUGUUGCUCAGUCAUUCGGCCAUACCACACUUUACCACUCUGCUUUGUUUUGGCAGACUGAUCAACCUGCGAAGAAUGUCCGUUCCAUGUAGGAGUUGCAGCUUCAUCUUUAGGUUGGCCUCUUUAUUUUAACAUCCAGUCAAACCCAUGUUUCUGUUGGUAAUGUAAGUCCAUAAAUAUGUUCUUAUUAGCAGAUUAUAAAUAUAAUGUAUGUACCUUGGGUGAGAUUAGAUUGCUGCAAUGUAGAAUUUGUAAUACCCUGUUCACUUGUGCCACUGUAUAGUUCGGGGUUGGAAAUAACUAUAGACAACAUUAUAAAAAUGAGACAAAAUUAAGACAUAUAAAAUGGCGUUUACAUUGGUAUAGUGAAGACAUUCGUAAUACCAGGUGGGUAUGCCUGAGCAUUCUUAAAGGAGUCGGCAACAAUUCGUUUUCGUUGUCGGGCUUCGCGUUGUUUGAGUAGGUACUCAACUCUUUGUUGUUCAGUCAUUCGACCAUACCAUCCUUGACCUCCCUAUUUUUUUUGGCUAGGUUGAUCAACCUGCGAAGUAUCUUCAACAUUUGUGGGCGCUAGAACUAAAUUGGUGUCUUGGCCUGUUUCAGCAUAUUAACAUAACAUUCAGUUGAAAUCAAGAUCAUGUAGGUGUAAGUAACUCCAUAAUUUCACCUGCGGCCGAUGUGUUUAUUAUGUCUUGAAAUGGAGUGUGUUUUCUUGCUCGGUGAAAAGCUGAAGUAUUUGAUUGUUGUGCCAUCUGGCAGCCGAGACUUACCGGCCAGAGCGUUGACUCGAAGUUGUAAUUUACGACGGGGCUGGCGGGCGAGUUUGCAAGCUCCCAAGGCGGGGGAGGUUCACCAUGGCGGGGAGUUGUGCCGUCUGGAGUACGUCGGCGCAAUGUGGUGGAGGAUCACCCCGGCGAGGAGUCGUUACAUCUGGAGUACGCCAAGGUGAGGCGGUCGCGCAUGAGUGAUGGAGUCGAGGCGACGGCGACACGCCAGUGAGCCGGAGUCUGGCAGGUAAUAUACUUCACGCGUGGUGAUGGUAAUUGGAGAAGCAAUCUCUAAAUUGGUGGAUCUGGAAAACUACAUAUGGUAAGUGUAAUCUCUGGAGCAAUUAGUGGACGUGAUCAGUGGGACAAUUGACGAUUGUUGCAGGAAUAACUACCGCAAUUAAUGGAAAAAACUGCCUAUAUCAA